AUUGAACGCUGGCGGCAUGCCUAACACAUGCAAGUCGAACGGAUUAUUGGAGCUUGCUCUAAUGGUUAGUGGCGGACGGGUGAGUAACGCGUGGGAACCUGCCCUGGAGUGGGGAACAACCUUUGGAAACGAAGGCUAAUACCGCAUACGCUCUACGGAGGAAAGGCUUCGGCCGCUCCAGGAUGGUCCCGCGUCUGAUUAGCUUGUUGGUGGGGUAACGGCCUACCAAGGCGACGAUCAGUAGCUGGUCUGAGAGGAUGAUCAGCCACACUGGGACUGAGACACGGCCCAGACUCCUACGGGAGGCAGCAGUGGGGAAUAUUGGACAAUGGGGGAAACCCUGAUCCAGCAAUGCCGCGUGAGUGAAGAAGGCCUUAGGGUUGUAAAACUCUUUCACUGAUGAAGAUGAUGACGGUAAUCAGAGAAGAAGCCCCGGCUAACUCCGUG
rnacentral:rRNA from 1 species